rnacentral:tRNA from 1 species
UAGUAAGAAGUAAAUUUUACAUUUAGUUUCGACCUAAAAAUUUGGUUUUAUAACCCUUACUUU